rnacentral:rRNA from 1 species
AAUGAACGCUGGCGGUAUGCCUAACACAUGCAAGUCGAACGAAAGCACAGGAAGAUCUUGCUCUUACGGGUGGCGAGUGGCGGACGGGUGACGAAUACAUCGGAAUCUUCUUUGUCGGGGGUGAUAACGUGGGGAAACUUACGCUAAUACCGCAUACAUCCUACGGGUGAGAGCAGGAGUUAUUCGGACCUUUCGCGAUUGUAUGAGCCGAUGUCGGAUUAGCUAGUUGGCGAGGUAAAGGCCCACCAAGGCGACGAUGCGAAGCGGGUCUGAGAGGGUGAUCGGCCACACUGGAACUGAGACACGGUCCAGACUCCUACGGGAGGCAGCAGUGGGGAAUCUUCCGCAAUGGGCGAAAGCCUGACGGAGCAACGCCGCGUGAGGGAUGAAGGUCUUCGGAUGGUAAAGCUCUGUUGUUGGGAAAGAACAAAAGUGUAAUUAACCCUGCACGUCUUGACGGUACCUAAACAAAAAGCCCCGGCUAACUCCGUG